rnacentral:rRNA from 1 species
UGAACGCUAGCGAUAGGCCUAACACAUGCAAGUCGAGGGGGCAGCACAUGAGUAGCAAUACGAUGGUGGCGACCGGCGCAACGGGUGAAGUAACACGUAUGCAACCUACCUCUAACAGGGGGAUAACCCGUUGAAAGACGGACUAAUACCCCAUAAUACGAGGGGCUCCGCAUGGAGAUAUUUGUUAAAGAUUUUAUCGGUUAGAGAUGGGCAUGCGUUCCAUUAGCUAGUUGGUGAGGUAACGGCUCACCAAGGCGACGAUGGAUAGGGGAACUGAGAGGUUUAUCCCCCACACUGGAACUGAGACACGGUCCAGACUCCUACGGGAGGCAGCAGUGAGGAAUAUUGGUCAAUGGAGGCAACUCUGAACCAGCCAAGUCGCGUUAGAAGGAUGAAGGUCUUAUGGAUUGUAAACUUCUUUUGCAGGGGAAUAAAUAGCGGUACGUGUACCGUUUUGCAUGUACCCUGCGAAUAAGGAUCGGCUAACUCCGUGCCAGCAGCAGC